rnacentral:rRNA from 1 species
AACGAACGCUGGCGGCAGGCCUAACACAUGCAAGUCGAACGCCGUAGCAAUACGGAGUGGCAGACGGGUGAGUAACACGUGGGAACGUACCCUUCGGUUCGGGAUAACUCAGGGAAACUUGAGCUAAUACCGGAUACGUCCGAGAGGAGAAAGAUUUAUUGCCGAGGGAUCGGCCCGCGUCUGAUUAGCUUGUUGGUGAGGUAACGGCUCACCAAGGCGACGAUCAGUAGCUGGUCNGAGAGGACGACCAGUCACAC